UACGGGGGGGGCAAGCGUUGUUCGGAAUUACUGGGCGUAAAGGGCGCGUAGGCGGCCAACUAAGUCAGACGUGAAAUCCCUCGGCUUAACCGGGGAACUGCGUCUGAUACUGGAUGGCUUGAGUUUGGGAGAGGGAUGCGGAAUUCCAGGUGUAGCGGUGAAAUGCGUAGAUAUCUGGAGGAACACCGGUGGCGAAGGCGGCAUCCUGGACCAACAUUGACGCUGAGGAGCGAAAGCCAGGGGAGCAAACGGG
rnacentral:rRNA from 1 species